AAUAUUUCCUGGUCUUUUGGCUAAGAUCAAGUGUAGCAUUUAUUUUUAUCAGUUUAAUAUCUGAUAUGUCCUCUAUCCAAUGACAACAUAGUAAGAGGAUUUUUGGAGGUAGGGGUUGGAAUGGGAGCUUGUUUCACCUAUUUCAUGAAUUGACCUGGUAUUUCAGGACCUCCAGGAAUGGUGAAAAAAAU
rnacentral:snRNA from 1 species